rnacentral:tRNA from 1 species
UCCCUGGUGGUUCAGCAGGUUAAGGAUCCAACAUUUUAACUGCUGUGGUGCAGGUUUGAUACCUGACCUGGGAA